rnacentral:rRNA from 1 species
GACGAACGCUGGCGGCGUGCCUAAUACAUGCCAGUAGAACGCACAGUUUAUACCGUAGCUUGCUACACCAUAGACUGUGAGUUGCGAACGGGUGAGUAACGCGUAGGUAACCUGCCUGGUAGCGGGGGAUAACUAUUGGAAACGAUAGCUAAUACCGCAUAAUAUUGAUUAUUGCAUGAUAAUUGAUUGAAAGAUUCUAUUGCAUCACUACCAGAUGGACCUGCGUUGUAUUAGCUAGUAGGUGAGGUAACGGCUCACCUAGGCGACGAUACAUAGCCGACCUGAGAGGGUGAUCGGCCACACUGGGAAUGAGAAACGGCCCAGAAUCCUAAGGGAGGCAGCAGUAGGGAAUCUUCGGCAAUGGACGAAAGUCUGACCGAGCAACGCCGCGUGAGUGAAGAAGGUUUUCGGAUCGUAAAGCUCUGUUGUAAGAGAAGAACGGGUGUGAGAGUGGAAAGUUCACACUGUGACGGUAUCUUAACAGAAAGGGACGGCUAACUACGUG